GGAGAGAUGCUCGAGUGGUUGAAGAGGCACGCCUGGAAAGUGUGUAAACGCCAAAAGCGUUUCAUGGGUUCGAAUCCCAUUCUCUCCGCAA
rnacentral:tRNA from 1 species